ACGGAAGGCAGCAGUGGGGAAUAUUGGGCUAUGGGGGCAACCCUGACCCAGCAACGCCGCGUGAAGGAAGAAGGCUUUCGGGUUGUAAACUUCUUUGACGAGGGACGAAAUAAAUGACGGUACCUCGAAAACAAGCCACGGCUAACUAUGUGCCAGCAGCCGCGGUAAUACGUAGGUGGCGAGCGUUGUCCGGACUUACUGGGUGUAAAGGGCGCGUAGGUGGGUGUGCAAGUCAGAUGUGAAAUACCGAGGCUUAACCUCGGGGCUGCAUUUGAAACUGUGCAUCUUGAGUAUCGGAGGGGCAAGCGGAAUUCCUAGUGUAGCGGUGAAAUGCGUAGAUAUACGGAGGAACACCAGUGGCGAAGGCGGCCUGCUGGACAAUAACUGACGCUGAGGCGCGAAAGCGUGGGGAGCAAACAGGAUUAGAUACCCUGGUA
rnacentral:rRNA from 1 species